rnacentral:lncRNA from 1 species
CUAUUUCUUUUGUUGAACCGUGUUUCUGUAUCUUUACGCAGUUGGCGAGCAGAUUCGUAGAUGAAAUAAUUAUGUGUCUUGUGAAUGUCCUUCCAUGUAUCAAUUUACAAGCAUGAAAGCUAUCUGAAGAUGUAAUUAAGCAAUUCCUCGCAAUGUAUUGAGUAAUUGUCCUAUCAAUUAUUCUGAGAAUAAAGCUGACAUAAACAACUCUUGAGCAAAAGCAGCCUUGUUACUUCUCUUUUGAACAUCUUCUUCAUGGCCAAUAUCCACUACUUCUGCUCCGUCAGAGCUGGAAACAUAAAACCAUCACCACAAUUUCAGCAUUAAGAAUAACACCUGGUAUAAAUAGAUAAAACCUGGAUAGAUAAAACCUGAUAUGGUUUCUGAUGAAGUAUUGCCAACGAUGGUUGGCGUGCUUACGAGAUCUGAUGGUUUGGACUUCGCCGGCCACCACUGUUUCGAGAUCGUCGGGAGGUUUUUAAGUUUCUGAGUGCGGCCUAGGUUAGUUUUACCAAGGCCCCACGGUGGGCACCAUAUGUACUUGCGGUGAGUACAAUCUAUAAAACUAGGUUUAAUUUGUUUAGGUCAUGCCCUAAGAAUGCUCUCAAGGUUAGUAUUUAUAGUCAUAGAUGGGCCGGAUCAGCCCACUAACUUAGGCGUUUAAGUUAAUUGGAAUUGGAUAAGCAUCAAAGUUUCUAGCAGCUUCUAGAACUUAUUAUUGGUGGUGCCUGUAUAGGAGCCGCCCUAGGCUAUUUCGACCCUUGAUAAGGGCGCUUAUAACUAUCUUAGCCUUUAUGAAGGGCAUUGUGUCCUUCAUCUGGGUUUUCCCGAUUCAAAAUUCGAUCUAGUUAUAUAGUGAUAGCUAAUGGCAAUAAAAUUAGGAUCGAUAAGAAAAAGAGACAAAUUUAAUCGUUUAUGAUUCAUAUCUAAGAAAAAAAUAUGUUUAUAGAUUAUGAAUAACGUAGAACAUUUUGAUACUAAGGAAGAAAUAAUACGUGUGUGUGUGUGUAUAACAAAAAUUAAAUAUAAAUCAAAAUAACAAUUGAUUGCAUACCUUUGGUAUUUCGUUGAUUUGAUUUGUUAUUUGUGAUGUUUUUAAUAAUAACAUCAUCAUUUUCAUCUUCUUCUUCAUCGUUGUCCAACUUUAUUAAAAUCACACGAGAUCGGUAUGACAUACUUGUUCGAUAAAAAAUCAAACACAUAAUAGAUCUAAUUAAGAUAUUAGAUCUACAACAUUUCAUGUCUGGUGUCACCCUUGUCAAAUUAAAUCUGAUUAAUAUAAGAUCUAAUUGGUACAACUCGAUAACCUAGUUAUAAUGUGAACUUGUCAGGGAAGUCACACAAGUAACUACAAAUUCACAAUCACAAUGAGAUGUUGCAAAAAAUCAUAAAACUGAUAGAAUAACUGAGAUCAAAAGAAAGGACAAAUAAAGGAUAUGAAAAAGAAACAAUAAAAGAGAAGUAUAACUAGGGAGAAGACCUAGAGAGAAG